CCACAAGUCAUGUGCGAACAUACGGUGUGAAUUAUCCUCUCUAUUUCUUUAAUUUACUAUUAUUAUUCAAUUACCACCUUUGGGAUUGUGCACAAGUGCGAAACGAAUUUAUAAUUUCUUCAUUGUUAGCGACACCCAUAGGUCCGAAUAGAUCCCUUCAAUCGUGAUUGCGAUAUCACUAUUCUGAACUGUAUCUGAAGAGCCUCGGAAGACCAGCGUAAGCUAGAAAUUGUUGGGUUAGACCGAAACUAAGAAGACCAGAUUGUAAGUGGUAGCAUUCAGUUUUCUUUAAAAUUU
rnacentral:lncRNA from 1 species